ACAACCAGCUCCCCCCAGGGUCCACAUCCAUCUACUCUGCUACUGCUUCCUGAAGGCCACCCGCACGGGCCCUGCCUCCUCAACCUUCUUGUCCCUUUCCUCCCUUUACCCCCCAGAUCCUGGCUCCAUCUUCACAUUAAGCCUGGAUGAGCCAUGAAACCUGAAAAGGAAGUCAUCUCUCUGCAACCUUAAAACACACAACUCAGCUCUGACGCGGCCCACCCCACUCCCGGGGAGACGUCUACCGACAGACACGGGCCAGUCUUCUCAUGACGGUACUGCUCAGGAAACUCACAGACCAGAGCCAUCCAGUCAACAACAGAUUGGGACGAGGACGAGGAAGAUGAGGUAAGCGUUUGCCGUUCUUACUAAAGGAGGGAAGGAGAAGAGGUCUGAAUUGCCAGGUUCAUUUUCAAGUCAGCUGAAUAUGUGCGUCCUGCUGGCAAUGUGUGCCUCUGCGUCUCCAAGGCCACCUUGGAUCCUGACACCUGGGUGCUGAGAGGUGCAGACAGGAGGCCAGCCCAGGAAUCAUCGGGCCUCUCAGGAAUCUUUGGGCAAGACCACUAACUUCAAGCAGCCACUCCUUGACCUCCACUGAUACGCCCCAUCUCGGGGACCCUGCGGCCAGCCGUCCACCCAGAAAUCUGAUGUCAUCUCACUUUCAUGGGUACAUCGCAUCUGGUGCCAGCUCCCCUCCUAGAUAGUUCUGGCACUCCUGUCCCUCUCCCACACACUGCCCUGGACCAAGCUCUCGCUCGCUCUCUCACCAGGGUUAUCACUCGAACCUUCCACGAAGCUCUCCCAGCUUCUGCCCAGUGACCCUUUACAUAAAAGAGAUCUCACCUUGUCCCUCCCAGCCGCUCACAGCAUUCCGGGGAUGCCAUGUUACCCUUAGGCGAAACUAAUGCAGGUAGGACUGCCUUUUAGAAUUGCCUGGAAAGCUUUUAACAAAGUUGCAUCCCACCUGACGCCAAACCCCCACUGAGUCGGGCCUCCAACACGGGUACAGCUCCUCGUGCCUCCUGUGCUCAGCUCCGGAGCCAUCAUUCUCUCCCCCCCACCCCCUUCCCCAACCACACAUCCCCAGCGCUGGCUCUUCUGCUUCCAGACCUCAUGCACCAAGCAGGAAGUACCUGUCCCUCCAACCUCGGACCCUCGUGCUCCCUGACACUCCCUGCCUCUAGCACCUUUAGGGACACCCUGGACUCUCUCCCUCGCCCCCUCCUUCCCCUGCCUCUCCUCUGCUGAGGUGUCCUUCUCCCCGUGCCUCCUGCCCCUUCCUUUUCGUCCUUGUCCUCGUCCCACGCUCCCCAUGAGCCCUGCUGUCUGUUUCCCUGACUAGAACCGCCCGCCAGGAGGGCACAGAGCCUAUCGACCUUGUCUCCUUGACCCAGCCUCUCUCUUUGUCUGAACGUGGGCUUCUUGGAGCUCCCUUCUCAGCUGGGCCCCAACCCUGGUCUGUAACGAUGAAGUUCUAGAACCUAGGUGAGGUUCGGUGGGCUGAGGUCCG